rnacentral:sRNA from 2 species
UAUUCUGCCCUACAGGGAAGGAUGAGAAGCUUCGACUAAGGUUCGACUAAGGUUCGACUCGAGCGAAGCGAGAGAACGUUGCCGCAGGCAACGGCCCGAAGGGCGAGGCGCUUUAGCGCCGAGUAAUCCUUCCCCCACCACCA